AUGGCGGAGGCUGUGCUCCUUGCUCUUGGAAAGAUUGGGGAUGUUUUAGCUGAUGAGGUUGCCAAGGCCUUGGUGGCCAAGGUAUUAGCAAAAGUUGGUAACCUGAUUGAUCUGAAUGACAAGAUUCAGCAGAUAGAGAUCCAGUUAAAAGCCAUGAACAACGUCAUACGGGAGAUUGGCACAAUGUACCUCACCAAUGAAUUCAUGAAGGGUUGGAUUGGGGAGGUGAGGAAGUUGGCCUACCGCGUUGAGGAUGUACUGGACAAAUACUCAUAUCACUCUCUUCAAAUGGCGGAAGAAGGUUUUCUGAAGAAGCAUUUCCUCAGAGGAUCACAUUAUCUCCUGGUUUUCAGCCAAAUUACUGAUGAGGUAGUCAAGAUAGAGAAGGACAUCAAGCAAGUUAUCGAGCUCAAGGGGUGGUCGCAACCACCCCAGUAUGUUCAUGACCCGCUUAGUGAGAUGGAAAGACAACGGUCCCAAGAUCGCUUCCCUGAACUUGUGAAAGAUGAAGAUCUGAUUGGAAUUGAAGAUAACAGGAGAAUGCUGACUGAAUGGCUGUACUCGGAUGAGAUGGACGGUAGGGUGAUAACGGUGUCAGGUAUGGGUGGCUUGGGAAAAACAACCCUCGUCACAAAUGUGUAUGAACGUGAAAAGGCCAACUUCCAAGCUCAUGCUUGGGUGGUUGUGUCUCAGACCUACACCGUUGAAGCUCUGUUGAGGAAGUUACUCAGGAAGGUUGGUUACACUGAACAACCAGCAUCAUCUAACAUUGACCGGAUGGAUGUGUAUGACUUGAAGGAAGAAAUAAAGCGAACACUUCAAGAUAGGAAAUGUUUGUUCGUCUUGGAUGAUGUCUGGAACCAGGACGUGUACUAUCAACUGCGAGAUGCACUCCAGAAUUCUCGUGAAAGCCGCAUCAUCAUCACAACGCGGAAUAACCAUGUUGCUGCUGUUGCUCACUCGUCACGUCGUAUCGAUCUCAAGCCUUUGGGGGACAAUGACGCAUUUGAACUCUUCUGCAGAAGGGUCUUUUAUAGCAAAAAGGACCAGCAGUGUCCUGAUUAUCUUUCGGAAACUGCUAAAUCUAUAGUUCAUAGGUGUCGGGGACUGCCACUAGCAAUUUUAUCGAUUGGCGGCCUCUUGUCUUCAAGGCCACAAACACAAUAUGAUUGGGAGCAAUUAUACAAUCAGCUUCCAACUGAGCUGUCGAACAAUGAUCAUGUCAAGGCAGUUUUAAAUCUGAGCUACCAUGACCUGUCUGGAGACCUCAGAAACUGCUUCUUGUACUGUAGCUUAUUCUCGGAAGACUACCCAAUGUCACGUGAGACUCUUGUGAGGCUCUGGGUUGCAGAAGGCUUUGUGUUGAGAAAAGGAAAUAGCACCCCAGAGGAGGUGGCCGAGGAAAACCUAAGAAAACUGAUCCACCGCAAUAUGCUUGAAGUCAUGGAUAGAGAUGAACUGGGAAGGGUGAACACCUGUACGAUGCAUGACAUUGUGCGAGAGCUGGCUCUUUGUAUUGCAAGGGAGGAGCGGUUUGUAUCCACAGACGACUAUGGCACAAUUCAACAGAUGGAUAUGGAUGCUCGUCGUCUGUCAUCAUGUGGAUGGAAAGAGAAUACUGCACGGAAAAUUGAACUUCCACGUCUUCGAACUCUAGUGUCGCUAGGAGCAACACCUGCCAUGCUAUCCUCAGUUUUGUCGAAAUCCAGCUAUCUGACUGUCCUCGAGCUACAAGACUCUGAAAUCACUGAAGUACCGGCAUUGAUAGGGACACUCUUCAAUUUACGUUACAUUGGCUUACGCCGCACUAAGGUCAGGUCACUCCCGGGCUCUGUUGAGAAACUAUCUAACCUGCAAACUCUGGACAUCAAGCAAACUAAAAUAGAGAAACUGCCAAGUGGGAUUGUGAAGCUCAAGAAUCUACGGCACCUAUUUGCUGAUAGAUUUGCUGAUGAGAAGCAGACGGAGUUUCGGUACUUUAUCGGAGUUCAAGCACCUAAAGAGCUGUCCAGUAUUGAAGAGCUGCAGACUCUUGAGACCAUCCAAGCCAGCAAGGACUUGGCCGAGCAGCUGAAGACAAUGAUGCAACUUAGAACUCUGUGGAUUGACAACAUAGGUGCUGCUGAGUGUGCAAAUAUUUUUGCUACCCUGUCAAAUAUGAAACAUCUUUCCAGCUUGCUUCUUUCCGGGAAGGAUGAGAAUGAGGCACUUUGUUUCGAGGCUCUCAAGCCAAGGUCUACACAUCUCCACAAGUUGAUCAUCAGAGGGAAAUGGGCAAAGGGGACACUGGACUGCCCGAUAUUUCGCAGCCACGGAGAAAAUCUCAAGUAUCUAGCUCUAAGCUGGUGUCACCUUGGGGAAGAUGAAGAUCCACUAGGGAUGCUUGCACCACACUUGCGGAACCUCACAUAUCUGAAACUCAACAACAUGCGCAGUGCAAAUGUCUUGGUUCUUUCUGCAGAUUCCUUUCCUCAGCUGAAGACGCUUGUGUUGAAGGACAUGCCUCAUGUCAGUGAGCUAAAGAUCAUGGAUGGUGCCCUUCCAUGCAUUGAUGGUCUGUAUGUUGUUUCGUUGUCGAAGCUUGACAAGGUCCCUCGAGGCAUUGAAUCCCUUGGUUCCCUGAAGAAGCUUUGGCUGCUGCGCUUGCACAGGGACUUCAAAACUCAGUGGGACAUCAACGGGAUGCACCAGAAGAUGACGCGCGUUCCAGAGGUUCGUGUUUGA
rnacentral:rRNA from 1 species